GAGAACUCUGAAAUGAAAUAUAUUCUAGAACCAUGGUUUCUAAGGCACAAAAACCCAACUAUUUAAGUUAAAGUCUAAAGACUGACAAAAAUACAUUUCAAGUAAAUUGAAGAUAUUUUGUUAAUAUUAAGAACUGACCUCUCUUGAGUGUUUAAAUGCCUCCUCACAACGAAACUAUCAGAUGCCCUCACGUAAACAAGACAAGAGACCCAAACACACACUUUGAAAUGGCCAAGGAACACUAUUGCUCCAUCAUCACGGGCCUUGUGAUUGGUAUACAUUCCUCGUGCCUAAAUUCCAGAAUGCCUCUCCUGAUCAAUGGUGUCUUAUAAUUGCUACUGGCCAAGAGACAGACAAGAUGCAGCAGAGGUGACCUGCACAUAUGCCAACCUGUUGCAUAGUUCUGAUGGCACAAAUGGACAACAGGAAUUCAUCAACUUUUCAUUCGGCAAAUCACUUAAGGACCAUUUCGGGAAGUAAUAUAAUCCUGGUUGUUUUCUGAAACCUUUGUUGAUACCUUCUGAAAAGGUGAGAAAGGACCUGCCUUAAAACUUGGUAAUGAAAGAGUAAUGGAGUCACUAACCUGGAAGUCCUUGAAAAAACUGUUUAAAGAAUUAGCAAAUAACUGACACUUCUGGUGGCACAGAGGACAGUUGUGUUUGGAAAAAUAGUACAAAUAUAUACAACUCUAGAGUGAAAUGAAUUUCAGAAGAUUGGAUUCCAAAUGAGAAGUUGGGGAGUAUCUUAAUCUACGUAUCUCUCCUAUAUCUUCUCUUUGUAUUAUGCAUAAUUGACAUGUGACAAAAUCUGUGUCCAUUAAAUAUUUUUAACAACUGAUAAUUAAAAUAGUUGAU